rnacentral:rRNA from 1 species
UACGUAGGGUGCAGGCGUUAAUCGGAAUUACUGGGCGUAAAGCGUGCGCAGGCGGUUUCUUAAGUCAGAUGUGAAAGCCCCCGGGCUUAACCUGGGAACUGCAUUUGUGACUGGCGGGCUAGAGUAUGGCAGAGGGGGGGUAGAAUUCCACGUGUAGCAGUGAAAUGCGUAGAGAUGUGGAGGAAUACCGAUGGCGAAGGCAGCCCCCUGGGCCAAUACUGACGCUCAUGCACGAAAGCGUGGGGAGCAAACAGG